CGCUCCAAAUUACUCAUUAUCUGGCAGACGAAUGUCAUCACUGCAGCGAAGAAGGUGGUUCGGAUCAUAUCCUCACAUGCUUGGCAUUUUGCGAUGAUGUAGUCAGAAAUAUCUCUAACCCUUUCUCGGAUACGACCCUUUUCCUAAAGUAACCGCCCGAUUUUUUGAUUCCUAGCUUCUAACACCUGAGUGACGUGAUGGUUUUGAUUUUGCAGCUGUUGCAUUUCUUCCUCCUUAUCCAUUAGAGCAUAACAAUGUUCCCUAUCAGCUUUAAAGUCUUUGGCCUGCUUGGCCGCCUUAUUCUCAAAGGUGGUUAACUUCCUUCUCAGGUUGGUGAUUGUCCCUUCACAUUUUCUUUUCAUUUGUCGCACAAAUUGUGUCCUCCUUUCUGCAUUCUUUUCCAAUUGGGCCCGGAAUUAUGCUAGAUUGGCUUCAGAUCUUUCUAAAUCAUCUUGAUUCUGAAGUGCUUUCUUACUCAGACUGCUUAUAAGCCUUUCAUCUGCUUGGCUUUUUUCCAGGUUUCUAGCUGCUAUUCUCCUUUUCUGGAUUUGAGCUUUGAGGGCUUUGUUUUCCUGAGUUAGCUUUUUAUUUUUCCCUUUAUCUGUGGUAGCUUGGAUUCUCUUGAAAAAUUUGAGGUCCCUCGUUUGUCCUUCCAACUUACCUAUUUUGGCCUUGUAGCUUUCUUCUUUAGCCAACCAGCCCCAUUGGGCUCUCUUCGAGAAUCUUAAACCUUUUACCGAACCAAACAUUGUACUUGGGGUCUACCUUACCUCUAGCUAGAUUCCGCACCAUAGUCUUAGGUUCAAGAAAUUCGCAUUCAUUCCACACAUGGCAAAUUUUUCCUUUUGAAAAUAUGGCUUUCGGGCCCAAUUCGAUGACAUGUCUACUUAAAUCUUCGUCGUGGGGAACGGUUUGAAAUCUACCUAAUUAUUGCAAUACCCUGUAAGGAGCAUAUGGCUGGAUGUUCCGGAUGGCCAUUAGGAGGAGAUAACACACUUCAGCUGACAUGUAUACUGCUUCGGUGACAGGAAGCCAUCCGAACACCCACUCAAUUUAUCGGCAAUCAAAGAGUUCAAGUAUGCAAACCAAGCCCCGGUACCCACGGGGAAUUCAAUACCUAUUACUCGGCUUUAAAAUUCUUCAUUGAACUCAAGCUAGUCAUACCGUAAUUCAUAUACCCAACCCGGUGGCAGAGAUGCUCCUGUAUCCACAAUUAUUGUAACAGAUUGCAGCCUUGGAAGAAUUUUCCCCCUUCUCGACAAAUAGUUAAGGAUCGGUAAAUUUUAGAUAAGAACAGGUGAACCACAGUGCUAUUGGCUUUCUUGAUUGCAACAUCGACCAUCCUACGAGACCCACUUCUAUAUUACCAUCCUCUCACAGACAGACUACAAUACGCAAGAAUGCUGCUGCAAAGGCAAACCUCGCCUUGCCUCCCAUUUAUCUUUAUUUUAGGCAUGGGUCAAACUAGUGUUCGGUGCUUCAAAACCUUGGGGGUUACAAUAGAGUUGAUACAAGAACUAGAUAGUGCAAUAGCCUGCAGAUAAUUUCCAUCUUGAAUAUCCCGACUAACACUCAGGAGGUCCAGAAAUUUGUGGGGAGAUACCGGUCUUGGUGACACUGGGUAUCGACUUCUAAGGUUUUUGUUAAGUUCAGCAUAACCUGCAACUUCCUUUAGUGCGGGUGUGAGCUCAAAGUCAGAAAAACGGAACACACUGCGAUUUGGAUCUCAAAAAGGUAUUAAAGCCUCAAUCACGUCCAACCUUAGCUUGAUGUUCAACAGUCCGACAAAGCCACCCAGAACCUUUACCAAAGUUUCUCUAUUGCCUUUUCCGAGAUCAUUCCACCACAUGUGGAGCUGUAAGGGGAUCUCUUUAAGGGCUACGAAAGGUUCAUUUUCAUUUGUGCUCAUCAUGCACAUUUAUUAAGGUGAUUUAAUAACUUAUUUUGACUCAAAACAAAAGGGUAACACCAUUUUUUUCAAAAUUUUAUUUCAAAGUGAAAUCUAGCUUUGCAAAUACGACUUCUCAAUACUUCAGGGAGAAGAGUUUAAGGUUGUACCCGCUAACUAGCUAAAAAUUAAAAAAUGACCAAAGGUGUCUAUUCUUGCAAAACGGCCUUCCGGUAUCCUUUUGGGGACAUUCGACUUAUUUUGAACAAGAAUGGCGUCACCCUACUUAUUUUGAUAAUAAUAAAGUUUUUUGUUCUUUUUGGGUUAUUUUUGCGAAAAGGGAAGUUGGAC
rnacentral:lncRNA from 1 species